GAUGAACGCUGGCGGCGUGCCUAAUACAUGCAAGUCGAGCGAACAGACGAGGAGCUUGCUCCUCUGACGUUAGCGGCGGACGGGUGAGUAACACGUGGAUAACCUACCUAUAAGACUGGGAUAACUUCGGGAAACCGGAGCUAAUACCGGAUAAUAUAUUGAACCGCAUGGUUCAAUAGUGAAAGACGGUUUUGCUGUCACUUAUAGAUGGAUCCGCGCCGCAUUAGCUAGUUGGUAAGGUAACGGCUUACCAAGGCAACGAUGCGUAGCCGACCUGAGAGGGUGAUUGGCCACACUGGAACUGAGACACGGUCCAGACUCCUACGGGAGGCAGCAGUAGGGAAUCUUCCGCAAUGGGCGGAAGCUUGGCGGAGCCACGCCGCGUGAGUGAUGAAGGUCUUCGGAUCGUAAAACUCUGUUAUUAGGGAAGAACAAAUGUGUAAGUAACUAUGCACGUCUUGACGGUACCUAAUCAGAAAGCCACGGCUAACUACGUG
rnacentral:rRNA from 1 species